rnacentral:rRNA from 1 species
AUUGAACGCUGGCGGAAUGCUUUACACAUGCAAGUCGAACGGCAGCACGGACUUCGGUCUGGUGGCGAGUGGCGAACGGGUGAGUAAUACAUCGGAACGUGCCCAGUCGUGGGGGAUAACGUAGCGAAAGCUACGCUAAUACCGCAUACGAUCUAAGGAUGAAAGCGGGGGAUCGCAAGACCUCGCGCGAUUGGAGCGGCCGAUGGCAGAUUAGGUAGUUGGUAGGGUAAAGGCCUACCAAGCCGACGAUCUGUAGCUGGUCUGAGAGGAUGAUCAGCCACACUGGGACGGAGACACGGCCCAGACUCCUACGGGAGGCAGCAGUGGGGAAUUUUGGACAAUGGGCGCAAGCCUGAUCCAGCCAUUCCGCGUGCAGGAUGAAGGCCUUCGGGUUGUAAACUGCUUUUGUACAGAACGAAAAGGCUCUGGUUAAUACCCGGGGCUCAUGACGGUACUGUAAGAAUAAGCACCGGCUAACUACGUGCCAGCCGCCGCCGUAA